CACGUAGGGGGCAAGCGUUGUCCGGAAUGACUGGGCGUAAAGGGCGUGUAGGCGGUUUAUCAAGUCAGAUGUGAAACACCUGGGCUCAACCGAGGUCUUGCAUUUGAAACUGAUAGACUUGAGUGCAGGAGAGGAGAGUGGAAUUCCCAGUGUAGCGGUGAAAUGCGUAGAUAUUGGGAGGAACACCAGUGGCGAAGGCGACUCUCUGGACUGCAACUGACGCUGAGGCGCGAAAGCUGGGGGAG
rnacentral:rRNA from 1 species